GACGAACGCUGGCGGCGUGCUUAACACAUGCAAGUCGAACGGAAAGGCCCUGCUUUUGUGGGGUGCUCGAGUGGCGAACGGGUGAGUAACACGUGAGUAACCUGCCCUUGACUUUGGGAUAACUUCAGGAAACUGGGGCUAAUACCGGAUAGGAGCUCCUGCUGCAUGGUGGGGGUUGGAAAGUUUCGGCGGUUGGGGAUGGACUCGCGGCUUAUCAGCUUGUUGGUGGGGUAGUGGCUUACCAAGGCUUUGACGGGUAGCCGGCCCGAGAGGGUGACCGGCCCCAUUGGGACUGAGAUACGGCCCAGACUCCUACGGGAGGCAGCAGUGGGGAAUAUUGCACAAUGGGCGGAAGCCUGAUGCAGCAACGCCGCGUGCGGGAUGACGGCCUUCGGGUUGUAAACCGCUUUCGCCUGUGACGAAGCGUGAGUGACGGUAAUGGGUAAAGAAGCACCGGCUAACUACGUG
rnacentral:rRNA from 1 species